ensembl:lncRNA
AACAGCGCUCGUCUCCGGCUCCAUAAGAGAUCCCACGAACCUGAGAUGGCUAGCUGCCUCAGCAGCGGCCAGCCCAGAUCUGCGUGGCUCUGAAACCCAACUCGCUUCGACUUCCGAGAAGAGCUUAAGUACUGUCGCCCAUUGAUGAUGUCAUCUUUGGGGUGGAGCAGCACACAAAGCUGAGGGAGCAACAUCCAAGGAAGGGUCAUGGUGGAUCCGGAGCCUAUCCCAGAAAUAGGAAAUCCCAGGUGGAGGAGCACAAGGUCUCUAACAUCCACCAACUCCGUGAUGUCGUCAUGGAGGACAUCCAGUGGCAACCUGUGAAGCUCUGGUGAACUCCAUGCCCAAGAGGGUUAAGGCAGUGCUGGAAAAUAACGGUGGCCACACAAAAUAUUGACACUUUGGGCCCAAUUUGGACAUUUUCACUUAGGGGUGUACUCACUUUUGUUGCCAGCAGUUUAGAAAUUAAUGGCUGUGUGUUGAGUUAUUUUGAGGGGACAGCAAAUUUACACUGUUAUACAAGCUGUACACUCACUACUUUACAUUGUAGCAAAGUGUCAUUUCUUCAGUGUUGUCACAUUAAAAGAUAUAAUCAAAUAUUUACAAAAAUGUGAGGGGUGUACUCACUUUUGUGAGAUAAUGUAGGUCUCCUUUAAUUCUGGUUAACAGGUACAGACAAUCAGUGGCUAACAGAAUUUAUCUAGCUCAGUAAUGUCGAGGCCAAAAGUUCUUCACAAGGUUAACAUGACAAAAAGAGAGGACAGGGUUUAGGUUGUAAAUCUUACCAAUCUCUGUAAUGUUGGUAGACUGUCUUCCCAGAUGGCAGGGAGAUUGUCACGAAGCGGGAACGGCGGCAGAAGUAAUUGCAGUUAAGAGCUUUUAUUUAGAAGGCGGCAGGAAGACAAAUCCAAAACUUGAAACAGAGGCGUAGUCGAAAACAGGCAAUGGGUCGGGCAAUCAGCAAACAAGCAUAUACUGGGCUAGGCAGCAAUCGAAAAACGAGGUCUCAGAAAAUGGGAUCAAAAGCAUGAAACAUGAAACUACGACAGGGAACUGGGAGUGGAAACCACCAGCGUGGACAAAGGGAACUAAUGUAAUACUCUGCGAGGUGUACAGGGAAGCGAGUGGUAUAUAUCCUGAACAUAAUCAGCAUUAAGUGCUGGCAGCUGAAAACAAUGAAGACACACCCUCGAACUACAACCAGUGACAGAACAGGGAGGAGACAGAACAGAAACAAAACAAACACGUGUCCAUAGUAAACAAUGUCUCAGUUAUCAACAUACGAUAAGCAUGCGCUCGCUGAGCACUUGCG